ensembl:snRNA
AUGUUUCAGGAAAGGAGAACAGGUUAACUCUCCCCAUCAGGCCUUUGGGUCUAAUAGCAUGUAUACAGCUGAGGCAUUGCCACUUUGUGGAAUCUAACCAUUGUUUUUA